UUGAACGCUGGCGGCAUGCUUUACACAUGCAAGUCGAACGGCAGCGCGGGCUUCGGCCUGGCGGCGAGUGGCGAACGGGUGAGUAAUGCAUCGGAGCGUGCCCAGUAGUGGGGGAUAGCCCGGCGAAAGCCGGAUUAAUACCGCAUACGACCUGAGGGUGAAAGCGGGGGACCGAAAGGCCUCGCGCUAUUGGAGCGGCCGAUGUCGGAUUAGCUAGUUGGUGGGGUAAAGGCUUACCAAGGCGACGAUCCGUAGCUGGUCUGAGAGGACGACCAGCCACACUGGGACUGAGACACGGCCCAGACUCCUACGGGAGGCAGCAGUGGGGAAUUUUGGACAAUGGGGGCAACCCUGAUCCAGCCAUGCCGCGUGCGGGAAGAAGGCCUUCGGGUUGUAAACCGCUUUUGUUCGGGAAGAAAUCCUCUGGGCUAAUACCCCGGGGGGAUGACGGUACCGGAAGAAUAAGCACCGGCUAACUACGUG
rnacentral:rRNA from 1 species